rnacentral:rRNA from 1 species
GGGAAUAUUGCACAAUGGGGGAAACCCUGAUGCAGCGACGCCGCGUGAGUGAAGAAGUAUUUCGGUAUGUAAAGCUCUAUCAGCAGGAACGAGACAAGACGGUACCUGACUAAGAAGCCCCGGCUAACUACGUGCCAGCAGCCGCGGUAAUACGUAGGGGGCAAGCGUUAUCCGGAUUUACUGGGUGUAAAGGGAGCGUAGGUGGCAUGGUAAGCCAGAAGUGAAAACCCAGGGCUCAACUCUGUGGAUUGCUUUUGGAACUAUCAAGCUAGAGUGCUGGAGGGGUAAGCGGAAUUCCUAGUGUAGCGGUGAAAUGCGUAGAUAUUAGGAGGAACACCGGUGGCGAAGGCGGCUUACUGGACAGAAACUGACACUGAGGCUCGAAAGCGUGGGGAGCAAACAG